rnacentral:rRNA from 1 species
AGCGAACGCUGGCGGCAUGCUUAACACAUGCAAGUCGCGCGGGUGGUUUCGGCCAUCAGCGGCGGACGGGUGAGUAUCGCGUAGGAAUGUAUCCCGAGGUGGGGGACAACCCUGGGAAACUGGGGCUAAUACCGCAUGGGGCCUGUGGGUCAAAGCCUUAGGGCGCCUUGGGAGCGGCCUGCGUCCGAUUAGGUAGUUGGUGGGGUAAAGGCCUACCAAGCCUGCGAUCGGUAGCUGGUCUGAGAGGACGAUCAGCCACACUGGGACUGAGACACGGCCCAGAAUCCUACGGGAGGCAGCAGUGGGGAAUAUUGGACAAUGGGCGCAAGCCUGAUCCAGCAAUGCCGCGUGGGUGAAGAAGGUCUUCGGAUUGUAAAGCCCUUUCGGCGGGGACGAUGAUGACGGUACCCGCAGAAGAAGCCCCGGCUAACUUCGUG